UUCGCGAUACGUCCGAGACUUUCUAACAAAAAGAUAAAAUAUUCACAAAUAACACCUAUUUGUAGAAAUCCUAAGCACGGCAAACGAUUAAAUUCCCUUUUUUGGGUCAAACUUGUAAUACUGGCAAUACUUUUGGUACACACUUUUGGUCUGCAUUUUGCUAACGUGUCACGACUCUAGUAUUGAUUCUACUUUGAUUUUACUCUUGUGUCAAAGUGACAGAAUGAGAUUGCAAUUCGAAUCAUCAUAUCAUUACAAAGAUAUGAAUUGCGUAAUUUUACACGAAUUUAAUCUCUCAUGGCCUGACAAUACGAACCAAGGCAUGCGUUCUCCUGAAUGGCACAGUAUAUAGACUUUUUUGUCGAUGGGUAUGGCCGCCAUGUUUGGUUUAUGACACUUAGACGGGGAUUUUGUCGUACCAAAGAGUAAAUUGCAAGUUUUUUUCGGCACAACUUGGUUCCUCUACUCGUCGCAAGAUGGCGUUGGCAUUAUUAAAAUAAACAAGAAUGACGUGCAUUUGCGUCGGUGUAGACCCAUCAUGAAAACGUAGAUAUGAUAAUUUUAUAUUUAAAAAAAAGCUAACGUGACAUAAAUUUGACAAAUGUCUAAAAGAAAUAUAGUAUCUUCUGUGUAAUAUCUUCUUCCGUGCACGUGUGAUUUAUUGUUUAGUCAAUUUAAAUAUCACUCUAAGUAAGAACUGUUAGACAAAACACUCGUAGCAUAAUUGUAUAUUUCAAUAUAUCACAGCCAUACAUUUUUAUAUUCUUUCAGGUGAUUCAGCUUACCCACAGAGGCAAACACUACUGAUGGAUGCACUGACUUUUGGAUGCACCUGUAGGAUCUCCAGAAGCUCGUUAUACCGCUUUACAAGUUCGAGCCCGCAACUGUAUAGAGCGGUGUUUUGGGCGACUAAAAAUCAGUUGGUAGUGUUUGUCGUCAAUGGAGAAACUGCACUACAAGCCAGCAGCGGCAGCUAAGAUCGUUAAAACGUGUUGUGUGCUUGACAAUAUAGCUAACAAAGCGAAUUGUGAACUGCCUCCGCUGAACCGACACGAAGAACAGGAGCAGCAGCAGGAGCAGAGAUUAGCGGCGGAGUUUGACGCCCGUCAGCAGAAUGCUGAUAUUUAUUUGGCAAUGGCUCCUGACAGGUGUUGGCUAAACAAAGAGCUGCAGCUGGGUCGCGCUGCUCGUCAAGCGCUUGUCCGGCAGUUAGCAAAUUAUUGAUUCUUCAUCGGACCAAGGCCGAUUUGUCCAGGACCAAUUUUUGGAUCUCCUGGGCUUCCUGGAACAAGGACUAGUGAUUGUUUCGAGGAGCUGUCAUGGUGUUGGCUCUUGAUAUUUUAUCGUGAAACGCAGAUUUAAUGAUGAAGGCGCGUCGGAACCCAAACGUCAAGAAUCGCCGACGUUCACAGAAGCAGCUACAAUGAGUGGAGAAUCUGAGAGCCAGGAAUGCGGAGCACCUUGCUACUACUAAAAUGGAGAACCCGGACCUGUUAGCGACAUGGAACUGACCAGGACCGUCGUGGGCUCCUCAUGUGC